UCUGGUGUUCUGUUUUGGACUGGGGAUUCUGAAUUGUGUCUGGUCCGUUCGACUAGCUGUCCUCCUUAACCCUAAUUUUCCAGCAGCAAAGAAACACCGUCGUCUUCUCUUUCCCUUUCGUGCGGCGCCAACAGAUGCCGUUUCAGCUUCUUCACAUCGACUGAAACGUUCCCAGUAAAAGCUUCAUGAUCAAUCUCAUUGGUUUGCUCCUCCAGUAUGUCGUCUUUAAUGCUUCGUUUGAUCUGAAAGGCGGCGGUUGUUGAGUAUAAUAUGGGUCAGUGUUUCUCUUUUCAUCGCAUCUUAUUUUGCAACUCUUAGAACUCAUACCAAAAGAUUGUAUUAUGCUGUUUGUUCUUCAUUUUUUUUUUAUUUCUUGGGUCAUCUGAUUGCUUUCCCUGUUUGGCAUCGCACUUUAUUCUGUCAGGUAAAAUAAUCCGUAGGUUUGGUUUCCGACAAGUCAGGAUCAUUACUUCCACUGAGCCAAGGUUAGCUACUGUGGCAGAGAAACGUGUCGUUACAGUACCAGCAACGUUCUACAGCAGAAGACGCCGCCGUUGAGUUGGUGAAAAAAGGUAAAUAUCUCUGAUACUCUAAGUAGUAUGCCUAAUAAUAUUGAUCUCUAUGCAUUUAUAUGUUUCUACAGCUUAGUAGAAAGGAGCAAGAAACAUGUAUUUGGUGAUUUUAAUCUUAUAAGUCAUGUUUCAGAUUGAUGAUUUAUUCAUUCAGCAAUUUUUUUCUUUUAGUUUGAAUAGUUUUCUUCAAGUUAAAUAGUGUCUUGAACUGUUCUUUACGAUUUAAGGUCAAGGGAGUCUCUAAACAUUUUUAUUCAUAUGCUUUCUGCAGCAAAAGCUCCUGCAGUGGUUUGACCAUCAAGAUAUGUGUUUUGUAUAUGUUUCAGGUCAUGGGUGUACUGCAAGUAUAUACGCAACCAUAUCACGAAUUGAGGUUUAGUCUCCUUCUUUAGGUGUACCUGAAAAAUUAGAAAACAGACCGGUUAGUGAAGAAGCUUAAAGUCUAACUCCAGACCUCAUUCUUCUCUUAUCAUUUUCAACAACUGAGAUUCUUCCGUCAAGAUUCACUUUACCAAAAGAUCGACCCGGUUAAAAGAGAUCAACAUAGUGAACCGAUGCUCCAGUGGCCGGAAGAAAGUUGUGUUGUCCGGAUACAUGUACCGUUCCGGUGAGAUUUCUCCGCCGAGCACAGUUACUCAGAUCGCCAUGUUUGUAGCUAUGAGCCGGUCGUGAGGCUGUCACUAGAGAAAACCCAGUCGUUAAGGCGGCGAAGCUGGCCGAAGUUUAAGAAAAAUACAAUCUUUAAUCGUGGUUGAAGCUCUGAUCUAUAAGUAUCGGACAUAGAGAUGCUCAGAGACAUUGCUUUGAUGGUUUCUGUUUUGUAAUGAGCGAUCAUAGAUAUUUUUUUUUUUUAGAUGUUUUGAUCAGAGCUAUAUAAAGAGGUUUCGAAGCUAUAUAAAGUUUCAACAUUUACUAAUGAUAUUGAGUACUCAGCUCUGUAGAAGACAUUACAGACAUCUCUAUGAUCCUUUCCAGACAUUAUAGAUUCUUCAAUUUUUCA